AGGCAAGCCAAGCUGUGAGGAGUCUGUGGGUCAUGGCUUUGGCAGCGUGGAACCUGGGACAUAGAGUCCCCCUUGAUACGGCUGUUCGGCAGACCAACUUUGUUGUAAAUAUUUAGAUAAAAAUGGGCUUUAGAGCAGCCACAUCUGAAGACCCACAAGGCUGAAUGUUACACAGGGGGAGCACCACUAUUUAAUCUGAACAUCUGGAAUCCAUCAUGUGUAGUGAAGGACAAGAUGUAUCCUCAUUUUUAAGCCAACUCCAUGAUAAAACUGAUGGAUGGGACCAAUGUGUACAGGUGAAGAAGAUUGAUACUUAAGAUCUGUAUGUUGUGAUAGGAAGA
rnacentral:lncRNA from 1 species